rnacentral:rRNA from 1 species
UUCCUGGCUCACGCAGAAAGUAGCUUGCUACUUUUGCCGGCGAGCGGCGGACGGGUGAGUAAUGCCUGGGAAAUUGCCCAGUCGAGGGGGAUAACAGUUGGAAACGACUGCUAAUACCGCAUACGCCCUACGGGGGAAAGCAGGGGACCUUCGGGCCUUGCGCGAUUGGAUAUGCCCAGGUGGGAUUAGCUAGUUGGUGAGGUAAUGGCUCACCAAGGCGACGAUCCCUAGCUGGUCUGAGAGGAUGAUCAGCCACACUGGAACUGAGACACGGUCCAGACUCCUACGGGAGGCAGCAGUGGGGAAUAUUGCACAAUGGGGGAAACCCUGAUGCAGCCAUGCCGCGUGUGUGAAGAAGGCCUUCGGGUUGUAAAGCACUUUCAGCGAGGAGGAAAGGUCAGUAGCUAAUAUCUGCUGACUGUGACGUUACUCGCAGAAGAAGCACCGGCUAACUCCGUGCCAGCAGC